ensembl:lncRNA
CUUGAACUUACGACCUUCAAGCCCCGUUCACAAGACCCAUUCACUGACCCUGAGCUUGGAUGAAAGCACCAGCCAUGCAGGUGGGAGAGGUCCUUCAA